UGUUCAGAGCCAUUAAAGAGUGUGUAGAAGAGGAAAGGGGGAUGUUCAAUCUGAUAUCCCUUCAUUUUUCUUGUAGCACGAAGUCAGUACAGAGUAAGAAAGGCAUCGGAAAGCCUCUGCUGGGGCAGGAUAAGGAACCAAGCCCUAGGCUGGCUGUCCUAACAAGUGUGCUGAUGAGGACCAGUAAGGGCAGGCAGAGGCAGUUUGUCCUCACUCCAAAGCCAUAGGAAUUUCCAUCCUCCAGAGCCUCUGAGCCUCCAGCCCUUGUGGCCACUGCAUCCAGCUUCACAGUGUCCUCCAGAGUCACAGCCAAGCACCUGGACCCCUUGGGGAACACUAAGAAGACGGGCCGUGGACUUUAAGCCUACCUUUGAAGGAGGAUGUAAAAUUUCAAGGGUCCUCCUGCACGGGCCAUGGCAGUGAAACCUGGCUUCAGUUUUGUUUCCAAAGGACUUCUUUCUCCCCCAGAUCUGAGAUGUAUUCGAAAGGCAAGGGUCCCACAGAGGCUCCAAAAUGAAGGCAUUAGGAAACCGGAGUGUCAACGGGCUCCCUGGUCAGUUCACCUGAGGGAUCGCUGCUAAGGGGAGUAGUUCAGAGACAUGAGCUUGGGUUUUGUUAGGGUCUGUUUUAGGGUUAUUUUAUUGGGGUUUGGUUCUGUUGUUGUUGUUGUUGUUGUUGUUGUUGUUGUUGUUGUCGUCGUCGUUGCCUCUGCCUCUACACAUUUUUGAGUGAUAAAUGAUUCAUGUCCCUGAAUUAAAGUGGCUGACGUUUGACUGCAUCAAGCAUCCUUUUGUAAGCAGGGAGGCCUUGGCCUACGGCUGACACGUACCGUCUUGCUCUCAGAUCCUAUCUCCCAUUAUAUCUGAAGAGACAACGUGGAAGCUGGAGAGCUCAGUGUAGUCAUUGAUUCUGGGACAACGUGUGAAAUAGGAAACGAGACAGACUGCCUGCCACUGGCCACUUAUGGAGUCCCUUCCCCGAAGCCAAAGUUUGGUUUGUUGUUGCUGUUAUGACAGUCUUCAUUGUAUGUGCAUAAAUAUUUUAGUUAGGGGAAGGGAUAGGCUGGGGCCUCUUGGAGUUCUAGAGAAUGGGGGCAGAGGGAUUUUCCUUUAUUUUGUUUCUUUUUGAGAAAAUUUACUGGCUAAAGGAACAGACAUUUUGGGUCUUUGUUUAAUAAGGGCCAUUCUCACAAAAAGGCAAGCCCCUUCACCUGGUGGAGACUAGGCCAGUCCCUCGACAAUUGUAUCCACAAAGGGCAGAAAGGGAGGAAGAAUUGAAGAAGGCAUCUUUCUUCCUGGACAGGAGUAAGGGUGGUCAUAGCAGGGUGAAAAGGACAGUCCCCAUGGCCCAUGCCGGAGGGGCCAGAGGGGCCUUCGUGCACUUCAGUUCAGCUGGUUCUGGCUGAGGCCUCCAAGGCCAGUCUGUUUGCCAGCACGUCUCUGCUGCAUGUACAGGGACACUCUCCGGUGGGUGCCACUUCCUCAAGCUCCUUCCAAGGAACACUAGAUGGAGUUGGCUUUUUAUGCAAGGGUCUUUGGAUUUCAGGGUGAGCACUGAGAGUUUGGCUCCCCCAAGUGUCUGGGUUUCACUGUAUUGGCCUCAUGGUUGGUCCUCAAGGCCACUGUGUUGGUGUGUUGGACUGAUUUAGGAAGCAGCAGGCUAGAGGAGAAAGGCAUUUUGUGACUCUGUUAGAGGAUUCUGGCUGAUGAUUUCAAAAAGAUGGCUGACGCUGAAUCGCAGUGAGAAGGGUGUUUUCAGUUUCAAAGGCUUCUGCAGCCUGGACUUUUCUAUGCUGCAAAUCUUACUAGAAGCUGGGCUCCUUUAAGGAGACUUGUAGUGAAAACGUUUGUCUGGCUGUUCCCCUUUCAGCCCGGAGAGCUGCCUUAGGUCUUUACUAGAAUUUCUGUGUUACUUAGUUCAACCUCAGCCCAGAAGCACCUUGCUACUACUUGUCAUUUUAGGGCUCUCAUGUGGCAGGGAGUGGCCUGCCUAGCACGUGUGGUUUCCCUGUGGCAGGACAGGUACCACUGGGACAUGGGGGCAUACUCGGAUGCUUGUCCAAUUGACCACCCAGCUGUGUCUCCUUCCUUCCCAUCCUCUCCCAGAGUCACCUCCUAGGGCACCCGAGCUGCUUGCCCAGGGUCCUGUUUCCCUGCUAACUCCAGAGAAGCACCCAGGGCUUUGUGACAGUCUCUAACUCCCUCUCUCCCUCUCUCCCUCCUCCUCAAGAAUCAUAUUGUAUAGUAGCUUUCAGACCAUACAGUAUUCAUUGGGUUACUCCUAUUAUUAUCAAGUAGCUGGAAUUGUGAAGGUUGGAGUAGUUAGAUCUUUAGCUUUUAUUCAUUAUUUUUUGUAUUACUCUCCAUGUGUAUAAAUUAUUGAUCAUGUUGCUGGCUUUUAUAAACUCUUAGCAAAGGAGGGGCCCUGCCUCAGCCUUUGCAAAUGGUAACGAAGCACUGUUUUUAAAUAAAAGAGAGAAACACCA
rnacentral:lncRNA from 1 species